rnacentral:rRNA from 1 species
CCUACGGGAGGCAGCAGUGGGGGAUAUUGCACAAUGGGGGAAACCCUGAUGCAGCGACGCCGCGUGUGGGAAGACGGUCCUCUGGAUUGUAAACCACUGUCCCCAGGGACGAAGAUGACGGUACCUGAGUAAGAAGCCCCGGCUAACUACGUGCCAGCAGCCGCGGUAAUACGUAGGGGGCAAGCGUUAUCCGGAUUUACUGGGUGUAAAGGGAGCGUAGGCGGAUCGUUAAGUCAGUGGUCAAAUUGAGGGGCUCAACCCCUUCCCGCCAUUGAAACUGGCGUUCUUGAGUGGAAGAGAAGUAUGCGGAAUGCGUGGUGUAGCGGUGAAAUGCAUAGAUAUCACGCAGAACCCCGAUUGCGAAGGCAGCAUGCCGGCUUCCGACUGACGCUGAAGCACGAAAGCGUGGGGAUCGAACAGGAUUAGAUACCCGAGUAGUC